rnacentral:rRNA from 1 species
UACGAAGGGUGCAAGCGUUACUCGGAAUUACUGGGCGUAAAGGGCGCGUAGGCGGCCUACUAAGUCAGACGUGAAAUCCCCCGGCUUAACCUGGGAACUGCGUCUGAUACUGGAAGGCUUGAGUAUGGGAGAGGGAUGUAGAAUUCCAGGUGUAGCGGUGAAAUGCGUAGAUAUCUGGAGGAAUACCGGUGGCGAAGGCGGCAUCCUGGACCAUUACUGACGCUGAGGCGCGAAAGCUAGGGGAGCAAACGGG